GCCGAGCAUGGUGGUGCACGCCUUUAAUCCCAGCACUUGGGAGGCAGAGGCAGGUGGAUCUCUGUGCGUUCAAGGCCAGCCUGGUCUACAUAGUGAGUUCCAGGACAGCUGGGGCUACAAGGAGACCCUGCUUCAAAAAGACAAAAAAAAAAAAAAAGAGUUCUGGAGACAGUCUAAUUUUGUAGCCCUGGCUAGGCUAGAGCUCGCUAUAUAGAUCAGGCUGGCCUUGAACUCACAGAGAUCCACCUGCCUCU
rnacentral:sRNA from 1 species